rnacentral:rRNA from 1 species
UACGGAUGGUGCAAGCGUUAUCCGGAUUCACUGGGUUUAAAGGGUGCGUAGGUGGGCUAGUAAGUCCGUGGUGAAAUCCCCGAGCUUAACUCGGGAACUGCCGUGGAUACUAUUAGUCUUGAAUAUCGUGGAGGUAAGCGGAAUAUGUCAUGUAGCGGUGAAAUGCUUAGAUAUGACAUAGAACACCGAUAGCGGAGGCAGCUUACUACGCGAAAAUUGACACUGAGGCACGAAAGCGUGGGGAUCAAACAGG